rnacentral:lncRNA from 1 species
UGCGCUUGUUGGGGUUGUCGAACUUGGAGUGCACCCAGGAGUUGCAGUCGAAGGUGACGGCGGUGCUGGUGUCGCCGCCGGUGACGAGCUUGAUCUCCCUGAUGAAGAUCUCCUUGUGGUGCUCGUUCUCCACCAGCACGGCGCCCACCGGACCGAACGACGCCGGCAACUUGAACUCCGCCUCGUAGUGGCCCUCGCGAAGCGUCUUGUGCGCGAACGCCGCCACCCGCGGCUUCUCCAGGCCAGACUCUGCACCGCCCCGCCACACCACACACAUGAUGCUCAAACUCCAUCAGAUAUUUCUUUCCUACGCGUACUCAUCUACAAACUCUCUCUCGUCUAGUCGUAAUGUCGUCGUCUUGUGCUGCUGUGGUAGUCUGUCCUUUGUCCUUUGUGGAGAGCAUCUUAAUUAAUAUAUAUAUGUAUAUAUACACAUAAAUAUUAGCAUUCACAUGUAUCCACUUUUACCAGAUUUAGCAAAGAUUUCGUUUAGUCACUAAGCAAUAUAUAUCAUAUAUAGCUGUGGAGAUAAAUAGAUGUAGCAAGCGUCCAUUGUUGUUGGAGCUAGCUAGGUUUGUUGGAGACUUUUGGAGCAGCUAACUGCUAGCAGCAUGCAUGCAUGGCGCCCAUCCAUCGUGGAAGAGGAGGGGGGACGGACAUAUAGAUGAUGCGUGUGUGGCGUGGCGCCCGUGCUGUGUCGAGCCAACGACGAGAGCUAGAUGAGGUACAUACACGCGGACGGUAUCGCUACUAUAGCUCGUACUCACUUGCGUCGAGCUCGGAGCUGACGAGCUCCAAGAGCAGCGUCUUGCCGAGGAGGUCGCCGACGUCGUCGAGGGCGCGCUCGAAGUACAUCUGCCCGAUGGCCGGCGACGCUUCCACCGUGGCCGUCACCGUCAGCAUCUGCGGCGGCUCCACGGUGACGGCCGCCACGGCGCCGCUGACCUCCUCGGUGGCGCUGCAGCUGAUCCUCGGCAGCCGCGUGUGCCGCCGGGACGAGGACCGGGAGCGGGAGGAGGAGGAGGACACGCCAGCACCGCCCCUCCGAGGCCUGCUGACGGCCGCCGCUGAGGGCGACGACGCCAGGCGCGAGCCGACGACGACAUUGCUCUGGUGCGCGGGCAGCAUGAGAGGCUGCUUCAGGUUCAGGUUAAUCAUGGCGCGCGCCCAGCCCUGUAGCUAGCUCAGGUCAGAUCGGCCGGACUGGUGGUUAAUUAAGCAGCAGCCAGAGCACCCAGC